UACGAAGGGGGCUAGCGUUGCUCGGAAUCACUGGGCGUAAAGGGCGCGUAGGCGGCCAUUUAAGUCGGGGGUGAAAGCCUGUGGCUCAACCACAGAAUUGCCUUCGAUACUGGAUGGCUUGAGUUCGGUAGAGGUUGGUGGAACUGCGAGUGUAGAGGUGAAAUUCGUAGAUAUUCGCAAGAACACCGGUGGCGAAGGCG
rnacentral:rRNA from 1 species